rnacentral:tRNA from 1 species
GCCCCUAUAGCUCAGUGGUAGAGCGCAUCACUCGUAUCACGUGAGCAUCGCGUGACCAGCGAUAUGAUGAGGUCCAUCGUUCAAUCCGGUGUGGGGGCA